AGGCAGGCUAGACUGGCAGGUUAGCCCUCUGUUGUUACCAUCAACGGGCUUUAGGUGGAGUCGAAGCUUGAUAAGAGGUAUAAUGGCAGAUCAUCAGUCUCUAUGCAGACGUUGAGAUUCUGUCCUGUAGGAUUGAUACCUUAAUGAACCGCGCCAGGGUAGGAAUACAGCAACGCUAAAUUCUGAUAUUGAUGCUUAUGGGGUAGCGGAAUUGAGGAAGCAUGGAGGUAGCUGGUUUUUUGUUAUUACAUCCAUUACCAGGUGCGCCUGCCU
rnacentral:SRP_RNA from 1 species